GAUGAACGCUGGCGGCGUGCUUAACACAUGCAAGUCGAACGGGAUCCAGGCAGCUUGCUGCCUGGUGAGAGUGGCGAACGGGUGAGUAAUGCGUGACCGACCUGCCCCAUACACCGGAAUAGCUCCUGGAAACGGGUGGUAAUGCCGGAUGCUCCGACUCCUCGCAUGGGGUGUCGGGAAAGAUUUCAUCGGUAUGGGAUGGGGGUCGCGUCCUAUCAGGUAGUCGGCGGGGUAACGGCCACCGAGCCUA
rnacentral:rRNA from 1 species